rnacentral:lncRNA from 10 species
CUAUUUAACUUGUUAUUGUAGAUAUGAAUAUCAAAAAUAAAAUAUUAGCUAUCUGUAUCAAUAGUGUAUCAAAAUAAUGCAUAGAAACCUAAGGUCUCCAAAAUGGUGGUCAUGGGUUUUGUGACCAGAGAGGUUGUGGUGGAUGUGCUGCUGUAUUUUUAUCAAGGUUAUGAAACCCCUGGUGUACAGUGCUUGUGGAAGAGGACACUCACAGACACUGAACUAUUAAGAACUACCUGAGCUACCUGACACCUUGGAUUAUUCUGCUUUUGAAGACAUAGUGAAAAAUGGAUUUGAAAGACUGACCCCUCGACAGCCAAUUGAAUUGCUCCGUAUGAAAUGAUCUGAGCUUCCAGCCCCUUCCUCCGGUCAGAAAAACGACAUUAUUGCAUGGCAAGAAAGUGUAAACAAUUCUAUGGCCCAGCUAGAGCAUCAAGCAAUUUGAAUCGAGAAUCUAGACCUAAUGUCACAGUGUGGAUGUAAUGCCUGGAAGGUAUAUAAUGAAAAUCUAGUUCAUAUGAUUGAACAUGCACAGAAAGAAGUGAUUCAGAAGUUAAGAAAACAUAUUCAAGAUUUAAACUAGCAGCAAAAGGACAUGCAACUCACAGCUGGAACUAAAUCAAGAGAAAUCGAAUCAAAUUGGAUAUCCCUGAUCAGUAAGAAUUACAAUAUUGAACAGACUAUUGAACAAUUGUUCAACUAGAAAAUGAAAACCAUCAAAUUAAGUAGCAAUAUGGAGAGGCAAACAAAGAAAACAUCCAGCAAGA